AAAAAAAAAAAAAAAAAGAAGAAGAAGAAGGAAGGAAGGGCAAAAACUCUCUUGUUUUCUCUUUGCUAUGGAUAUCUAUCUAUUGGCUCUUACUUGUCCGUCCUUUUCUUU
rnacentral:ribozyme from 13 species